GAUGAAGAACGUAGCGAAAUGCGAUAAGUAAUGUGAAUUGCAGAAUUCAGUGAAUCAUCGAAUCUUUGAACGCACCUUGCACUCCUUGGUAUUCCGAGGAGUACGCCUGUUCGUGUGUUAUGAAGCUCUCAAAACGCAAUUGGCUUAAAACCUGAUUGUUGUUUUGGAUUUGAACUUUGCCGUGUUAUAACGGCUGGUUUUAAAAGUAUUAGCUGGUACUAGAACGAAUUGGUUCUACUCAACGUGAUAAUUAUCUGAUCGUUGAGGACAUUCCUUUCACGAGGAAUGGCCAUAGUAAAUUCAAUGGACUGCUUCUAAUCUGGCUUUAAUUCUUUAUUGUAUUAACCACUUUUCAAAUCUGACCUCGAAUCAGGUGGGACUACCCGCUGAACUUAAGCAUAUCAAUAAGCGGAGGA
rnacentral:misc_RNA from 1 species